rnacentral:rRNA from 1 species
GACGAACGCUGGCGGCGUGCCUAAUACAUGCAAGUAGAACGCUGAAGGAGGAGCUUGCUUCUCUGGAUGAGUUGCGAACGGGUGAGUAACGCGUAGGUAACCUGCCUGGUAGCGGGGGAUAACUAUUGGAAACGAUAGCUAAUACCGCAUAAUAGUAGAUGUUGCAUGACAUUUGCCUAAAAGGUGCAAUUGCAUCACUACCAGAUGGACCUGCGUUGUAUUAGCUAGUUGGUGGGGUAACGGCUCACCAAGGCGACGAUACAUAGCCGACCUGAGAGGGUGAUCGGCCACACUGGGACUGAGACACGGCCCAGACUCCUACGGGAGGCAGCAGUAGGGAAUCUUCGGCAAUGGACGGAAGUCUGACCGAGCAACGCCGCGGGAGUGAAGAAGGUUUUCGGAUCGUAAAGCUCUGUUGUAAGAGAAGAACGAGUGUGAGAGUGGAAAGUUCACACUGUGACGGUAUCUUACCAGAAAGGGACGGCUAACUACGUG